rnacentral:rRNA from 1 species
UACGUAGGUGGCAAGCGUUGUCCGGAAUGACUGGGCGUAAAGGGUGCGUAGGCGGCUAUUCAAGUUAGUAGUGAAAUCCCGAGGCUCAACUUCGGUGCUACUACUAAGACUGUUUAGCUUGAGUGCAGGAGGGGCAAGUGGAAUUCCUAGUGUAGCGGUGGAAUGCGUAGAUAUUAGGAGGAACACCAGUGGCGAAGGCGACUUGCUGGACUGUAACUGACGCUGAGGUACGAAAGCGUGGGGAGCAAACA